rnacentral:lncRNA from 1 species
UUAAAUCCUGCUUGAUCAAGUACUGCCCGAACAUUUUCUGACAUGAAGUCAACACCUAAAACUGUAAUAUAGUCACAUCCUGCUUCAAAGCUCAGAUCACAGACACACAGGUUCACAUUAAUAUAAAUUGUUUCCCCACAGGUAGAUAAUUCGAAAUACAUCCUACAAACAAUAAUUCAAGCUAAUUUAAUAGACUGUAAUAUAAAAUUAGCAAAAAACACUACAUGCAUCAGACAGGCAAUAGAGCGGAGACAAAUCACAGCAACCAUUUAGAAGAUACUACAAGGAGACAUUAACCACAUAAUCAGAUCUUCAAAGCUCAGAUCACAGACACACAGGUUCACAUUAUGUUCCAAAACUCUCAUCCAGGCACAGAGCAGUUUUCAAAUAACAUAAAACCUCUAUCACAUAAUCAUUGGUAGCAAAAACUAAAUAGAUGAGGAAAAGGCGGUACGACAACCAUCAGAUGACCGUGAAGAGCCUA